CCUACGGGAGGCAGCAGUGGGGAAUAUUGCACAAUGGGGGAAACCCUGAUGCAGCGACGCCGCGUGAGUGAAGAAGUAAUUCGUUAUGUAAAGCUCUAUCAGCAGGGAAGAAAAUGACGGUACCUGAGUAAGAAACCCCGGCUAACUACGUUCCAGCAGCCGCGGGAAUACGUAGGGGGCAAGCGUUGUCCGGAUUUACUGGGUGUAAAGGGAGCGUAGACGGCAGUGCAAGGCUGGAGGGAAAGGCGGGGGCUCAACCCCCGGACUGCUCUGGAAACUGUACGGCUGGAGUGCAGGAGAGGUAAGUGGAAUUCCAAGUGUAGCGGUGAAAUGCGUAGAUAUUAGGAGGAACACCAGUGGCGAAGGCGGCUUACUGGCCUGUAACUGACGUUGAGGCUCGAAAGCGUGGGGAGCAAACAGGAUUAGAUACCCGGGUAGUC
rnacentral:rRNA from 1 species